AAAGGAGUAUGUGCUAGUCUUAAAUGCCAAAUGUAAUUCAUAUCAGUGGUAACAACAUUAUUACAAAUGGAAUUAUUUACUAUUGGAAGCAAGCCAACAUUUUUGCUGUCAGACACAGUGUCAUCAUUACAAAAAUCAGACAAAGCACACAGAAGCAGAAGGAAAAUCAGGAGAGGAAGAGGGGGAAGAAGGCACCCAAGACAGUUUGUAUAAGCCAGCUUCCUCUUUACCAAGAUCCAGAGGCCUCUUCAGAGAAGGUCCUGUAUCAUGUGAAGUAAACAGGAAGUGGGAGUGAACAAAACUAUACAGUGCAACUGUUUUAUCAACUUGUGAACAGAAAUCAAGUUGUGUUUAAAGGAAGGAACCAGAAGCACAUUGUGAAGAGUAUAAGCCAGCUUCCUCUUUACCAAGAUCCAGAGGCCUCUUCAGAGAAGGGUCCUGUAUCAUGUGAAGUGAACAGGAAGUUGGAGUGAACAAAACUACACAAUGCAACUGUUUUAUCAACGUGUGAACAGAAAUCAAGUUGUGUUUAAAGGAAGGAACCAGAAGCACAUUGUAAAGAGUAAGGGAAGAAGUUAAUGUAAAAGAACCUGUACAAGUUACUUUUACUUUGUAACCAUUAGGCAGAGUUACAAGAUAAGGAACAGUCAAAGGUAUGAUGUUAAAAAGUAGGUUUUUAUCAUGUGUCAUAUGAUUAGAUGCCCCUGAAUCAAUGAUCAAGGUGACAGAAUUAAUAUGUGUAAGCAUGCAUAAUUUGGAAUCAGAAACAAGACUCUCAGUCAACAUUGUACCAGCAAAAUUAGCAGCACACAUGAAAGGAGGAGUUUGAUCAUAAACAAGACUCUCAGUCAACAUAGUACCAGCACAAUUAGCAGCACACAUGGGAGGAGGAGCUUGAGCACUGGAAUCCCCUAACUUGGUCUGUUGUAAUAAGCUCAUCAACUGAUCAUACUGGUGUCUGCUCAACCCUGGUAUCACAGAGCUGUGACCAUCUAUGUGUGUAACAUGUUGAUGGCUGGCAGGAGGAUCCCCAAAAGGAACAGACAAAUUAGGAUUUCCAUGAUUAACAUACACACAUUCCUCACCAGUGGAGAUAUGAGCAGCUGCAGAUUUUCUUCCCUUGUUGUAGUUUAUGUUUUGAGGAAACCCAUGGAUCUUGUAGCACUUAUCAAUUAAGUGCCCUUUAGGAUUUCCAUGAUUAACAGACACACAUUCCUCACCAUUGGAGACAUGAGCAGCUGCAGAUUUCCUUCCCUUGUUGUAGUUUAUGUUUUGAGGAAACCCAUGGAUCUUGUAGCACUUAUCAAUUAAGUGCCCAGAUUUCUUGCAGUAUCUGCAAAAUAAGGGUCCUCUGCUUUGCUUAAUAUUAACUAUGGGUCUGAAAAUAGGGGGUCUAGGCACUGUGGCCUGAUUAAACCCAGCUGAGUGCUUGUUUGCAUGAGCAUUAAAAGACAUAGAGUCUGGACUGAUUUGAGAAAUGGAUUGAACUUGUCUUUGUUUCUCAUCAUUAAGCACUAUGUUGUAAACACUGUCAAGGGAAGGAAAUGGCUGCAUCAUCAACAGAUUACUCCUAACCCCAUUAAGCACUAUGUUAUAAACACUGUCAAGGGAAGAAAAUGGAUGCAUCAUCAACAAAUUACUCCUAACCCCCAUGUAUGCUUCAUUUAACCCCAUAAGAAACUGGAAUACCUUGUUUUUAUCAUCUUCCUCAAUUAUUCCAUUUUUAGCAGCACACACACAUCUCUGCCCAUGAUUUGUGCACAUUGUGCCCAAUUCAUCCCACAAGCCUUUGAGCUUGUUAAAGUAUGAGGCUACGUCUAAGCAGCCUUGAGAUGUGUGGGAAAGUUCCCUCUUUAAUUCAAAGAUUUUGGUCUUAUUAGGGGUACCAUAUCUUUGCUCAAUUUGGGACCAUAUACUAUGUGCAAUGUCGGAAUACUGCACACUAUCAGCAAUCUGAGGAGACAAGGAGGAGGUCAACCAGGAAAUGACCAUGUUAUUACAUCUAUCCCAUAGUCUCUGUUGAGCCACAUUAGUUGUAGGUCGAGGACAUGAACCGUCAACAAAACCGAUUUUAUUUUUAGCAGAUAAAGCAACAAUCAUCUUACGCCUCCAACCCCCAUAACCACAACCCGAGAAGGGAGUGGGAACAAGAGAGACCCCAGGGACAUCAGAGGAAUAUACAAAAAGGGGGCUAGUAGAGUCUACCGAGGAGGAGGUACCAGCAUUCGUGUUAGAAGCCAUAAUCAAUAAACUGCCUUAAAAAAAUAGUUUCAACAAGCAGAGUAUAACCAAGCCAGAUAUUCACGAACCAGCUUAAAAAAAAAUUUCAACAAGGAGAGUAUAACCAAACCAGAUAUUCACACACAAAACCAGAUACUCAUAUACAGAGCAGAUAAUCACACACAAAACAUACAAUACACAAGAUAAGGACAGAG
rnacentral:lncRNA from 1 species